CCUACGGGCGGCAGCAGUGGGGAAUAUUGGACAAUGGGGGCAACCCUGAUCCAGCCAUGCCGCGUGUGUGAAGAAGGCCCUCGGGUUGUAAAGCACUUUCAGUGAGGAAGAACGCCUGGUGGUUAAUACCCAUCAGGAAAGACAUCACUCACAGAAGAAGCACCGGCUAACUCCGUGCCAGCAGCCGCGGUAAUACGGAGGGUGCGAGCGUUAAUCGGAAUUACUGGGCGUAAAGCGCGCGUAGGUGGCUUGAUAAGCCGGUUGUGAAAGCCCCGGGCUCAACCUGGGAACGGCAUCCGGAACUGUCAAGCUAGAGUGCAGGAGAGGAAGGUAGAAUUCCCGGUGUAGCGGUGAAAUGCGUAGAUAUCGGGAGGAAUACCAGUGGCGAAGGCGGCCUUCUGGACUGACACUGACACUGAGGUGCGAAAGCGUGGGUAGCAAACAGGAUUAGAUACCCUGGUAGUC
rnacentral:rRNA from 1 species